rnacentral:ribozyme from 1 species
UUCCUAGCAACUUCUAUCCCUACCUCCACGUGGUACCGGCUGGAAACUACGGGCAACUUUAGGGAAGAUCGGGUAAACAAUCUCGGUGGGAACUUUGGUCGUACGUUGACAGGGAAGG